rnacentral:rRNA from 1 species
ACGCUCGACACCUACGGGAGCAGCAGUGGGGAAUAUUGCACAAUGGGGGAAACCCUGAUGCAGCGACGCCGCGUGAGUGAAGAAGUAUUUCGGUAUGUAAAGCUCUAUCAGCAGGGAAGAAAAUGACGGUACCUGAGUAAGAAGCCCCGGCUAACUACGUGCCUAGCAGCCGCGGUAAUCUGAGCGGGCUGGCAAGGC